GGAGGAAAAGAAACUAACUAGGAUUCCCUUAGUAACGGCGAGUGAACCGGGAUGAGCUCAAAUUUAAAAUCUGGCGUCUUUCAGGCGUCCGAGUUGUAAUCUAUAGAGGCGUUUUCCGCGCCGGACCGCGUCCAAGUCUCUUGGAAUAGAGUAUCAAAGAGGGUGACAAUCCCGUACUUGACGCGACAACCGGUGCUCUGUGAUACGUUCUCAAUGAGUCGAGUUGUUUGGGAAUGCAGCUCUAAAUGGGUGGUAAAUUCCAUCUAAGGCUAAAUAUUGGCGAGAGACCGAUAGCGAACAAGUACCGUGAGGGAAAGAUGAAAAGCACUUUGGAAAGAGAGUUAAACAGCACGUGAAAUUGUUAAAAGGGAAACGAUUGAAGUCAGUCGUGUGAAAGGUAUUCAGCCGUCUCUGGCGGUGUAUUUGCCUUUCACGGGUCAACAUCAGUUUGAUCCGGUAGAAAAAGGCAGGAGGAAGGUGGCACCCUCGGGUGUGUUAUAGCCUCUUGUCAUAUGUGCCGGACCAGACUGAGGAACGCAGCUUGCCGCAAGGCCGGGGUUCGCCCACGUACAAGCUUAGGAUGUUGACAUAAUGGCUUUAAACGACCCGU
rnacentral:rRNA from 1 species